rnacentral:rRNA from 1 species
UUCGCGAAAGCGUUGCUAAUACCGGAUAUUGUCCCUUUUGCUGUGGCAUGAGGGAUGAAAGGUGACCUAUUCAUGAAAGUUGCCGUUUAGGGAGGGGCUCGCGUACCAUUAGCUUGUUGGUGGGGUAAUGGCCUACCAAGGCUGCGAUGGUUAGCUGGUCUGAGAGGAUGAUCAGCCACACUGGAACUGAAACACGGUCCAGACUCCUACGGGAGGCAGCAGUGAGGAAUUUUGCGCAAUGGGGGAAACCCUGACGCAGCAACGCCGUGUGAGUGAAGAAGGCUUUCGGGUCGUAAAGCUCUGUCAAGUGGGAAAAAGGACUUUCGAUAAAUAGCCGGAAGUAUUGAUGGUACCACUAGAGGAAGCACCGGCUAACUCCGUGCCAGCAGCCGCGGUAAUACGGAGGGUGCAAGUGUUGUUCGGAAUUACUGGGCGUAAAGAGCGUGUAGGCGGUUUGGUAAGUCAGGUGUGAAAGCCCUGGGCUUAACCCAGGAAGUGCACUUGAAACUACCUCACUUGAGUAUGGGAGAGGAGAGUGGAAUUCCCAGUGUAGAGGUGAAAUUCGUAGAUAUUGGGAGGAACACCCGUGGCGAAGGCGACUCUCUGGACCAAUACUGACGCUGAGACGCGAAAGCGUGGGGAGCAAACAGGAUUAGAUACCCUGGUAGUCCACGCCGUAAACGAUGAGAACUAGGUGUAGCGGGUAUUGACCCCUGCUGUGCCGGAGCUAACGCAUUAAGUUCUCCGCCUGGGGAGUACGGCCGCAAGGCUAAAACUCAAA